AUUUAGUUAAAGCCAAAAAGAGGCAUAUUACUGUUAAUAAUACAAUUGGGAAAUCCCUAACUUUCCAG
rnacentral:tRNA from 1 species